AGCUGGUCCAAGUGCGAUGGUGUUUACAGCUAAUCGAUGACAAACCAGUUACAGAUUUCUUUCUUCCUUGUCCACCCUCACUGCUUCACGUUACGAGCCUAAA
rnacentral:Y_RNA from 1 species